rnacentral:rRNA from 1 species
AAAUGGAUACCUCAACGUUAAAAAUUAAAGAACGUUUGUUAAACGAAAUGUUGUAACGAGUCAAGCUAUUUUAACUUACAACUUUUCUAAAUCGGAAACGAGUUUUGAAAAAUUUAAACAGAUUUUAAUUGUCUUUCAAUUAAAAUUUUUAGAAACUAGUGAACUGAACCAUCUAAGUAACUAGAAAAAAAAAUCAACCGAGAAUCCGUUAGUAGUGGCGAGCAAAAGCGGUAUAGACUAUUUUUAAAAGCUAUAGGUAGUGUGUUUAAGACUUAAUAGCCAAAGAAGGUAGCAUAAAAUUGAAUAUAUGUAGCCCUGUAAAACACACACCAAAAUUUUAAAAUGCAAAGUAAAAUGAUACAAGUCAUGUAUUAUUUCAACAAUGGGGUCCCACCCUCAAAGUCUAAAAAAUUUUAACGAUUGAUAGCGAAUAGUACCGUAAGGGAAAGGUGAAAUAGAAUUUUCGAAUUUGAAAAGAACUUGAAAUUUAAUGUUUAUAAUCAGUUGUAGCUUUAAAAAAGUGACAGCGUUCCUUUUGCAUAAUGAAUCAAUGAGUUUAUAUCAAUGGCAAGCUUAAACGUUUAAAAGUGUAGGCUAAAAAAAAUUGAGUUUUAAAUUGCGCUCUUUUAAAAAUAUUAUUAGUCUUUGAUAUAAGACCCGAAACUAAGUGAUCUAAUCAUGAACAGGCUGAAUUUAAAGCGGUAACGCUUAUUGAAGGGCCGAACUCGUGUAUGUAGAAAAAUACUGAGAUGAUUUGUGAUUAGGGGUGAAAGGCCAAUCAAACUUAGAGAUAGCUGGUUUUCUGCGAAAUCUAUUUAAGUAGAGCGUUUAAAAUUCUUUAUCUAAGGUAGAGCACUCGAUAAAUAAAGGGGACGUAAAGUUUUACUGCAUUUAAUGAAACUCCAAAUAUAGAAUUAAAAAGAUUUUAAACAGACAGACUGUGAGUGCUAAGAUUCAUAGUCAAAAGGGAAACAGCCCGCAUUAUUUGUUAAGGCCCUUAAAAAUAAUUAAGUGAAAAAGAAAGUAAAAAAAUUUUAACAAUCUAUAGGUAGGCUUGGAAGCAGCCACCCUUUUAAGAAAGCGUAACAGCUCACUGGUUUAGUUUUUUUGCAUCAAAAAUGUAUAGGGACUAAAAUUAUUUGCCGAAACAAUAAAUUUAAAACAAUACAAUUAAUAAUAUAAUAUUAAAAAAUUGAUUUUAAAUGGUAGCAGAACGUUUUGUAUAUUUAAGAAAGUUUAUAGUUAUAUAAACUGGAAAAAUCAAAAAUGAAAAUAUUGAUAUGAGUAGCGAAAAACAUUGUGAAUAAUAAACAUUGUCACCUUAAGUUCAAGGUUUUUAAGGGAAGGCUAAUCCUCCUUAAUGUUAAUCGGUCCCUAAGAUAAAAACGAAAGUUGUAGUUGAUGGGUAAUUUUUUUAUUAUAUUUUAACGUGACAAAAUACGAAUUUAAUUUUUAUUUGUGAUUUUAAUUAAAAGUUUUUUAGUAUUUUCAAGAAAUAGCUUAAAAUAAUACCGUACUCUAAACCGACACAGGUGAACAAAUUUAGCAAAUUAAGGUGCUUGAAUUAAUUGUAUUGAAGGAACUCGGCAAAAUGACUCCG